rnacentral:rRNA from 1 species
AUGGCUUCGCCUGCAGCAGCAGCAGAGUUCACUCGGGAAACUGUUCGCCGGUCACUGAUCGCAAUCUCUCAGUCCCUCCCUGAGACUUCGCUCCUGAACCCCAAGGCCAACCCACCAAGCACCACCCCUGGAGCAAACACAUAUCGUGAUGAUGGGGCAGCGAAGUGCAGAUCGAAGCUGAUCUCGAUCUCAUACCCGUCCACUCCUGAUGCCCUGUCCACGCCGUGCCCCCAGAAGAACGCUGCAACCGUGUGA